AAGCGGAGGAAAAGAAACUAACAAGGAUUCCCCUAGUAACUGCGAGUGAAGCGGGAAGAGCUCAAAUUUGAAAUCUGGCGGUUCCGCCGCCCGAGUUGUAAUCUGGAGAAGCGUUUUCCGUGCCGGACCGUGUACAAGUCCCUUGGAACAGGGCGUCAUAGAGGGUGAGAAUCCCGUCUUUGACACGGACUCCCGGUGCUCUGCGAUGCGCUCUCGAAGAGUCGAGUUGUUUGGGAAUGCAGCUCAAAAUGGGUGGUAAAUUCCAUCUAAAGCUAAAUAUUGGCGAGAGACCGAUAGCGAACAAGUACCGUGAGGGAAAGAUGAAAAGCACUUUGGAAAGAGAGUAAAACAGUACGUGAAAUUGUUGAAAGGGAAACGCUUGAAGUCAGUCGCGUCUUCUGGGACUCAGCCUUGCUUCUGCUCGGCGCACUUCCCAGUUUGACGGGUCAGCAUCGGCUCUGGGGGGCGGACAAAUGCGUGGGGAAGGUGGCAGCUCCGGCUGUGUUAUAGCCCCGCGCUACGCGUCCACCGGGACCGAGGAAUCCGGCGCUCGCGCCUGGGAUGCUGGCGUAAUGGCUUUAAACGACCCGUCUUGAACCACGGACC
rnacentral:rRNA from 1 species